GUCGAACAAAGACGCUAGAUCUCUUGUAGUAAAUUGAGCGAAUGCACAUUCAUCAGAAUUCGCCCUUUAAUAUCGAUUGUUGUUAAGACAUUCAUGAGAAUAGUCGCCUUCGUUCCGUUGUGUUUGUUCAAGCAGUCAACAGCGCUUGCUAACCCUGGUUUAUUUUGAGGACAGGUUUUCUUGUAAGGCGACACUUUUAGUUGACAGACAAGGGAUGACAGUCAUUCUGACCAGGCAAGUGUUCACGUUAGACGUACAUAUGGAGCCCGAGGCGUCUGAUACUGGGAUUAAUAUUAAAUAAGACACACCUUUGUAUACGCACAAAUUACGUAAUUUAAUGUAUGUUUAAUUUAUAUCAAGUUUUCAGAUUUACACGUUUGGAAAGUAUUGUGAGAAUAUUUUGAAAGGGCGUGUUGCAUUCAAGGCUUUCGUGAUUAAAUCAAAAAUAAUCUUUGGCUGCAUAAGGAGUGAGAACGUGUUUCAUGCAAAACAACGACUCAGUAACAGGCAUUUUGGGUGCUAAAUGUCAAUGUAAUGAAUGCUGAAUUAAUUCAAUUAGCCAUGUAAAUUAUGAGCCUAACUGAACUCCCUCAGAUGUGAAUUCAUUUACUGAUGGCCAACCAAAGCCUCUCUAUGGUCAUGACAUCAGACAAUGCUUCGGUCGGAACAAUUGUAUCAAGUCUGAGGACAUAUUGCCGGGAUCAUUUGGAUGAAGAAUACUGACUGGUCAGUUACAUUUGCUGAAGUCAACCCGUGCGCGAAAUGUCAACAAGAGUCAAAGUCCUCGGUAAUGACAUCGCCAAAUUAGCUCUGUAGACAGUGCUGCCACGUAGUGUCCGUGUGCGUAAACUAAUCAGGACCAUGGUCAGCGCCGCGCCAUCUACCGUCUAAAACGCCAAAAGAAUACAUGGACCAUCGCAUCUAUUCAGCUUUUGCUCCCCGUACAAAUUCUCCAAGGCUGCUGACGACCACAGCCUCUGAAUCACAGCCCGAACCAAGAAUGAAGGGAGCGCUUGACGUCAGUUGUGAGACUCAUCCCCUGGACCAAUCGCACACAAACAACCAGACGCCGCUGUCUGUGAAUUGCCAAUGUUAUUAG
ensembl:lncRNA